rnacentral:rRNA from 1 species
CCCUUAGAUGUCCUGGGCCGCACGCGCGUUACACUGAUGCAUUCAACGAGCUUACAACCUUGGCCGAGAGGCCUGGGCAAUCUUGUUAACGUGCAUCGUGAUAGGGAUAGAUUAUUGAAAUUAUUAAUCUUGAACGAGGAAUUCCUAGUAAACGCAGAUCAUCAAUCUGCAUUGAUUACGUCCCUGCCCUUUGUACACACCGCCCGUCGCACCUACCGAUUGGAUGGUCCGGUGAAGCCUCGGGAUUGUGGUUCUUGCCGCUUUAUUGUGGCGUGACCGCGAGAACUUGUCUAAACCUUAUCAUCUAGAGGAAGGUGAAGUCGUAACA